GUGUCAGCAGCCGCGGUAAUACGUAGGCAGCGAGCGUUGUUCGGAAUUACUGGGCGUAAAGAGUGCGUAGGCGGUGCUCCAAGUCUGUUGUGAAAUCUCCCGGCUUAGCUAGGAGGGUGCGGCGGAAACUAGAGUGCUAGAGGGUGGGAUAGGCAAGUGGAAUUCCCGGUGUAGCGGUGAAAUGCGCAGAUAUCGGGAAGAACACCCGUGGCGAAGGCGGCUCUCUGGGACGGUACUGACGCUGAGGCGCGAAAGCGUGGGGAGCAAACAGGAUUAGAUACCCCGGUAGUCC
rnacentral:rRNA from 1 species